UACGGGGGGGGCAAGCGUUGUUCGGAAUUACUGGGCGUAAAGGGCUCGUAGGCGGCCAACUAAGUCAGACGUGAAAUCCCCAGGCUCAACCUGGGAACUGCGUCUGAUACUGAUUGGCUUGAAUCCGGGAGAGGGAUGCGGAAUUCCAGGUGUAGCGGUGAAAUGCGUAGAUAUCUGGAGGAACACCGGUGGCGAAGGCGGCAUCCUGGACCGGCAUUGACGCUGAGGCGCGACAGCGUGGGGAGCAAACAGG
rnacentral:rRNA from 1 species